rnacentral:rRNA from 1 species
GACGUAGGGGGCCAGCGUUGUUCGGAAUUACUGGGUGUAAAGGGUUCGUAGGCGGUGCGGCAAGUCGGGAGUGAAAUCUCUGGGCUCAACCCAGAGGCUGCUUCCGAAACUGCUGUGCUUGAGUGUGGGAGAGGCGCGUGGAAUUGCAGGUGUAGCGGUGAAAUGCGUAGAUAUCGGGAGGAACAUCAGUGGCGAAGGCGGCUGCCUGGCCCAAUACUGACACUCAGGUGCGACAGCGUGGGGAGCAAACAGG